CCUACGGGAGGCAGCAGUAGGGAAUAUUGGUCAAUGGGGGCAACCCUGAACCAGCCAUGCCGCGUGCAGGAAUAAGGCCCUAUGGGUCGUAAACUGCUUUUGAACGGGAAGAAACCUAUUUACGUGUAGAUAGUUGACGGUACCGUUAGAAUAAGGAUCGGCUAACUUCGUGCCAGCAGCCGCGGUAAUACGAAGGAUCCAAGCGUUGUCCGGAUUUACUGGGUUUAAAGGGUGCGUAGGCGGACUCAUAAGUCAGUGGUGAAAGCCUUCAGCUUAACUGAAGAACUGCCAUUGAAACUGUGGGUCUCGAGUUCGGUUGAGGUCAUUGGAAUGUAACAUGUAGCGGUGAAAUGCAUAGAUAUGUUACAGAACACCGAUUGCGAAGGCAGAUGACUAAACCGAAACUGACGCUGAGGCACGAAAGCGUGGGGAUCAAACAGGAUUAGAUACCCUGGUAGUCCACGCCUAAACGANANAUAUACACUANACGAUAUANAGUAGGUCGACGACGAAGACGUAGUAUACUACUGAGUAGUCGCGAGAGAGAGACAAUAGAUUAGAGNGUUGAGAGNGCGAGCGACACGAGGAGAG
rnacentral:rRNA from 1 species